rnacentral:rRNA from 1 species
GACGAACGCUGGCGGCGUGCUUAACACAUGCAAGUCGAACGGGAAGGCCCUGCUUUUGUGGGGUGCUCGAGUGGCGAACGGGUGAGUAACACGUGAGUAACCUGCCCUUGACUUUGGGAUAACUUCAGGAAACUGGGGCUAAUACCGGAUAGGAGCUCCUGCUGCAUGGUGGGGGUUGGAAAGUUUCGGCGGUUGGGGAUGGACUCGCGGCUUAUCAGCUUGUUGGUGGGGUAGUGGCUUACCAAGGCUUUGACGGGUAGCCGGCCUGAGAGGGUGACCGGCCACAUUGGGACUGAGAUACGGCCCAGACUCCUACGGGAGGCAGCAGUGGGGAAUAUUGCACAAUGGGCGGAAGCCUGAUGCAGCAACGCCGCGUGCGGGAUGACGGCCUUCGGGUUGUAAACCGCUUUCGCCUGUGACGAAGCGUGAGUGACGGUAAUGGGUAAAGAAGCACCGGCUAACUACGUGCCUGCAGCCGCGGUGAUACGUAGGGUGCGAGCGUUGUCCGGAUUUAUUGGGCGUAAAGGGCUCGUAGGUGGUUGAUCGCGUCGGAAGUGUAAUCUUGGGGCUUAACCCUGAGCGUGCUUUCGAUACGGGUUGACUUGAGGAAGGUAGGGGAGAAUGGAAUUCCUGGUGGAGCGGUGGAAUGCGCAGAUAUCAGGAGGAACACCAGUGGCGAAGGCGGUUCUCUGGGCCUUUCCUGACGCUGAGGAGCGAAAGCGUGGGGAGCGAACAGGCUUAGAUACCCUGGUAGUCCACGCUGUAAACGGUGGGUACUAGGUGUGGGGUCCAUUCCACGGGUUCCGUGCCGUAGCUAACGCUUUAAGUACCCCGCCUGGGGAGUACGGCCGCAAGGCUAAAACUCAAAGGAAUUGACGGGGCCCCGCACAAGCGGCGGAGCAUGCGGAUUAAUUCGAUGCAACGCGUAGAACCUUACCUGGGUUUGACAUGGAUCGGGAGUGCUCAGAGAUGGGUGUGCCUCUUUUGGGGUCGGUUCACAGGUGGUGCAUGGCUGUCGUCAGCUCGUGUCGUGAGAUGUUGGGUUAAGUCCCGCAACGAGCGCAACCCUUGUUCACUGUUGCCAGCACGUUAUGGUGGGGACUCAGUGGAGACCGCCGGGGUCAACUCGGAGGAAGGUGGGGAUGACGUCAAGUCAUCAUGCCCCUUAUGUCCAGGGCUUCACGCAUGCUACAAUGGCUGGUACAGAGAGUGGCGAGCCUGUGAGGGUGAGCGAAUCUCGGAAAGCCGGUCUCAGUUCGGAUUGGGGUCUGCAACUCGACCUCAUGAAGUCGGAGUCGCUAGUAAUCGCAGAUCAGCAACGCUGCGGUGAAUACGUUCCCGGGGCU